CCUACGGGGGGCAACAGUGAGGAAUAUUGGUCAAUGGACGAGAGUCUGAACCAGCCAAGUAGCGUGAAGGAUGACUGCCCUAUGGGUUGUAAACUUCUUUUAUAAAGGAAUAAAACGAGGCACGUGUGCCUUUUUGCAUGUACUUUAUGAAUAAGGAUCGGCUAACUCCGUGCCAGCAGCCGCGGUAAUACGGAGGAUCCGAGCGUUAUCCGGAUUUAUUGGGUUUAAAGGGAGCGUAGAUGGGUUGUUAAGUCAGUUGUGAAAGUUUGCGGCUCAACCGUAAAAUUGCAAUUGAUACUGGCAGUCUUGAGUACAGUUGAGGUAGGCGGAAUUCGUGGUGUAGCGGUGAAAUGCUUAGAUAUCACGAAGAACCCCGAUUGCGAAGGCAGCUUACUAAACUGUGACUGACAUUGAUGCUCGAAAGCGUGGGUAUCGAACAGGAUUAGAUACCCCUGUAGUC
rnacentral:rRNA from 1 species